GGCACUACGGUGCUGAAGCAACAAAUGCCCUGCUUCCAGGAAAAGCCUCUAAGCAUCAGGUAACAUCAAAUCGUACCCCAAACCGACACAGGUGGUCAGGUAGAGAAUACCAAGGCGCUUGAGAGAACUCGGGUGAAGGAACUAGGCAAAAUGGUGCCGUAACUUCGGGAGAAGGCACGCUGAUAUGUAGGUGAAGUCCCUCGCGGAUGGAGCUGAAAUCAGUCGAAGAUACCAGCUGGCUGCAACUGUUUAUUAAAAACACAGCACUGUGCAAACACGAAAG
rnacentral:rRNA from 1 species